rnacentral:rRNA from 1 species
GAUGAACGCUGGCGGCGUGCUUAACACAUGCAAGUCGAACGAUGAAGCCCAGCUUGCUGGGUGGAUUAGUGGCGAACGGGUGAGUAACACGUGAGUAACCUGCCCUUAACUCUGGGAUAAGCCUGGGAAACUGGGUCUAAUACCGGAUAGGAGCGUCCACCGCAUGGUGGGUGUUGGAAAGAUUUAUCGGUUUUGGAUGGACUCGCGGCCUAUCAGCUUGUUGGUGAGGUAAUGGCUCACCAAGGCGACGACGGGUAGCCGGCCUGAGAGGGUGACCGGCCACCAUGGGAAUGGGACACGGCCCAGACCCCUACGGGAGGAAGCGGUGGGGAAUUUUGCAAAACGGGCGAAAGCCUGAUGCAGCGACGCCGGGUGGGGGAUGACGGCCUUCGGGUUGUAAACCUUUUUCAGGAGGGAAGAAGCGAAAGGGACGGUACCUGCAGAAGAAGCACCGGCAAACUACGU